UACGUAGGGGGGCAAGCGUUGUCCGGAAUCAUUGGGCGUAAAGAGCGUGUAGGCGGCUUGGUAAGUCCGCUGUGAAAGUCCAGGGCUCAACCCUGGAAAGCCGGUGGAAACUGCCAAGCUAGAGUCCGGAAGAGGCGAGUGGAAUUCCUGGUGUAGCGGUGAAAUGCGCAGAUAUCAGGAGGAACACCAAUGGCGAAGGCAGCUCGCUGGGACGGUACUGACGCUGAGACGCGAAAGCGUGGGGAGCAAACAGG
rnacentral:rRNA from 1 species